rnacentral:rRNA from 1 species
GUGGGGAAUCUUCCACAAUGGACGAAAGUCUGAUGGAGCAACGCCGCGUGAGUGAUGAAGGUUUUCGGACUGUAAAGCUCUGUUGUUUAGGACGAAAGUGCCUGUUGCGAACAGUUACAGGUAUUGACGGUACUAAACGAGGAAGCCACGGCUAACUACGUGCCAGCAGCCGCGGUAAUACGUAGGUGGCAAGCGUUGUCCGGAAUUAUUGGGCGUAAAGAGCAUGUAGGCGGAGAUUUAAGUCUGUUGUAAAAAUGCGGGGCUCAACCCCGUAUUGCGAUGGAAACUGAAUUUCUUGAGUGCAGGAGAGGAAAGGGGAAUUCCCAGUGUAGCGGUGAAAUGCGUAGAUAUUGGGAGGAACACCAGUGGCGAAGGCGCCUUUCUGGACUGUGUCUGACGCUGAGAUGCGAAAGCCAGGGUAGCGAACGGGAUUAGAUACCCCAGUAGUCC